CAAUGAUUGAUAGGUAAUUCGUGUCUUAUUUAUCAGUGCAGUAGGAAAUAUACGUGCAGGUAAAAGAAAAAAAUGGCAGGAAAAGGGAAUCCAAAUUUAGAAAAAGUUCUUGAGGCUCAGUAUCUGAUCAAGAAGAUGCAUGAAGUUUCACAGCUGAUGGGUGUGGAUCUCGAUCC